ACCAUCUCAGCUUGCAAGAACCUCAGCAGUACACUCACUGGUAGUGGCAGCUUAGCUGGUAGGGUUUUACAGCUCCGCGUCUUAGUGGGCAGCGCAAACCCACGACAUAUUGAAGAAGAUCGAUUCGCAUCGAUCCUCAUCAGUUAGUAAUAUACGGAGGAAUCGCGUUGGGAUGGCGCUGUUAAGGAGCGUGACGAGAACCCCUCUCGGAAAUGCUCUGUACAGGCGGCUGCUGAGCAGCGUGGUGGUCGAGAGAGGAUUCAGCAGCGGCGGCAAUGUCGGCACCACGGAGCAGAUGAAUUUGAUCAGGCAACUGAGGGACAGAACGAGUGCUCCGAUAAAAGAAGUUAAGUCUGCUCUGGUUGAUUGCCAUUGGGACAUCGAGGCUGCUCAGAGGGAGCUCAGAAAGAGAGGGCAGGUGGUGGCGUCAAAGAAGUCCUUGCGGACAGCGGCGGAGGGUUUGCUGGCUCUUGCGCAGAACGGGGGCAAGGCCGCUGUCAUUGAGCUCAAUUGCGAGACUGACUUUGUCGCUAGAAAUGAAAUCUUUCAGUAUUUGGCCUUAGCUUUGGCAAAGCAAGCUCUAUUGGUGGAGAAUCCUUCUAACCAAGUUUCUGGGAUCUUUCACAUGGGACCUGAGCACUUAGAGGGUUUGAAUUUAAAGCUCGAGCAUCCAAAAAUCAGUGGAGAAACAACAGUUCAGAAUGCAAUUACAGAAGUGGCUGCAAUAAUGGGAGAGAAUGUAAAAUUUAGAAGAGGUUAUGCCAUGUGUGCUUCUUCGCACGGUGUUCUUUCCACAUAUCUUCAUACUAGUCCCCAGCCAGGUUUAGGCCGUAUUGCUGGAAUCCUUUGUCUUGAAGUUGAAGAUGAGAACUCACAACUUGAUGCGCUCCGACGAGUUGGUUCAGAAUUGGCAAUGCAUAUUGUAGCUGCCAAGCCUUUGUUUUUGACUAAGGAACUUGUCACGCCUGAUGCAUUAGAAAGUGAACGGGAAAUCCUGAAGUCUCAGGCAGAAACUUCAGGGAAAUCUCAGAUGGCCAUAGACAAGAUGGUUGAAGGCCGUCUACGCAAAUACAUGGAGGAAGUGGUACUUAUGGAGCAAAAGUUUGUUGUGAACGACAGUAUAAAUGUAAAGACUUUGAUAGGCAAUCUAUCGAAGGAAGUGGGAUCCUCCGUGAAGAUUGGAAACUUUUUCAGAAUGGAAGUUGGAGAAGGAAUUCAGAGGGGUUGAUGGGUUGGGUGGUUGGACCAAAUCUAUCUUUGGUGUUGCACAUGUUCGUGUGCUUAUUGGCGAGGCAAUGGCUUUUCCGUCCUUUUUGUCCCAGGAAUGAAGCAUUGAGUGUACCUGAACCUGUGGCUCAAGCUGUGUAAUAUGAGGGUAUGUUCUCAACGGAAUCUAAUGGAUGCAACACGUCACUGCAAAUUGAAGAUCCUCAAUUAAUUUCUUUCUGUGUGCAACAGGCAUAAUUAUUUGAGAGGCACAGCUUCACUGGAAAAAGUUGUUUUGUGAGCUUUCCUUAUGUUUCAUUUAUUACCAUGAGAUUUCUUAAAAAUGCAGAGGGUAAUAAAGCGGUGUGGUAGAUUCCUCCUAGGUGCUCCAAUUCCAUUUGUUGGGCUCUCUCAAGUGAUUAAACA